rfam:Granulicella tundricola MP5ACTX9, complete genome.
UUGAGCCGGAUGAUGGGAAACCAUCCAGUCCGGUUCUUAGGGGAGGGAGCGGCAGCGAUGCCGCUUCCUUACCCGAC